UGGAUCACCUCCUAACAGGGAGACAACAAAAUGUUUAAUAUUAUUAUUUUGUCACCUUAGGUCGAUCGGUAUCUCACAUUUUUAAUUUAUUAAGAAUUUCAUUUCCUAAGUUUUUCUAGGUCACACCCAUUAUUUUUCCUGGGCCAUUAGCUCAGGUGGUUAGAGCGCACCCCUGAUAAGGGUGAGGUCCCUGGUUCAAGUCCAGGAUGGCCCAUAUCUCUAUGUUGGGGGUAUAGCUCAGUUGGUAGAGCGCCUGCUUUGCAAGCAGGAUGUCAGCGGUUCGAGUCCGCUUACCUCCACUGAUUACCACCUCUUCCAUAAUCUGUAGAAAGGAAAAUUUUUGUGUUGUGAUCCUAAUUCUGAACGAAUCUAGCUUCCUAAUGAACCCAUUAAGAUGCUGGACUCAUUGAAUUAAUUUCAUUGUUUUCAGAGAACCUUGACAACUGCAUAGAUUAUUUUAAAGACAAUAAGCAUCUUUAAUGAUGCAGAUUUAUUAUUUGUGCAAAUGCAUUAAUAACAAUUCUAUUAAGCUGAUGCUUCAAAUUUUGAAGUUAUUGGUCAAGCUACAAAGGGCUCACGGAGGAUACCUAGGCACACAGAGGCGAUGAAGG
rnacentral:tRNA from 1 species